UGUCUGCAGGUGACCCAAUUCCCUCUAUGACCGUAAGGUGUGUGGGGGAGGAGGGGGACUGGCUGAUAGAGGAAAUUGUGAUUCCCAAGAAGCAAAAUGACUUACAUGUGGUCAGCCAAUACACAGGCCUCUAGAUCCAAAAUUCUGCCUGGGCAAACUCUCUGGGUCUGGCAGACCUCGCUGUCCUUUCCAUCUCAAAACGAAAUAAAAACUUCUCAAGUCUUUUGGAAAUGCUUCUCUAAACUGCAGUGGGGCGAGACCAAGGCCACAUAUGAGCAAUCUGGAAUGUCAGCGAUGGCCCCAGGGAAAGGAAACUUGCUUUGCUACUGCCAGUUUGGAAUUAUUACAAGAAUAAAUAAGGGUCCGACUUUGUCAUAAAUAUCGUCUCUUUUCACUACGGAUAGAGAGUUCAGACAUUCCAAAAUUUAAAUACAUUUAUUUUUUUAAAGUCCAAAUCACAGCAAGUCCCCAUCAUUCAGGAAGCUGCCUAGUGCUGAACUGCCCUUUAUCUGCUUUAUUUACAUGAGAAACACAGCACAAAGAGAUUUUGUGCUAUCCCUGUCUCAUUUCUCUAAGCUACAGCCAUUGAUUCUUGGUAAGUUUAUUUAUUCAAAACAACAGCACAAACAAUUCUUUAUUCUUGGGUCAGCAGCUUACUGAAUUAGCAUCAAUCAUCAAAGGAGACUGGCCUGAAAGGAAGAUGGAAGCCCAUUUUCUCAGAGAUUGAUUUUUUCUUUUUUCAUUUUUUUUUUUUUUUGCGAAGUCAAAACACACAGGCAUAAGCAGGAGCCUGUUUACUACAGAAAAGGUUCAACUCCAAAGUCAGGCCCAAACCCCAGCAAGGCACAGCUCUGACCAGCUUCUUUGAAAUCCAGAAGAAUUCUGUAAGGGGUGAUGCUGGAGAGGAAAAGGUUGCUCCUUGGAAGAAUGAAUAGAAGUUCGUUAAACAAACAUCAAUUAAAGAAACGGCAAAGACGUUCAUUUAGUUUGGGAUCAUAAAAAAAACACACACACACUGCUGAACAAAGAGAUAUGACUGUUAGCCAAUCUAAACCUUCAUUGCUACUUUGAUCAGAUACAACAGCAAAUUAACGGACCGUCAAUAUUUUCAGGCAAGCGGAGAGAAGGGGGCGUCCUCACGAGUUGGUGCCGGAGACACAACGUGGGAAUUUCGAGGAGAUCAAAGGGAGAAGGAGACCAAGACUAAGGAAGACAUCUAAGUUCCAUGCAAGCAAAGCAUUUGCCCUACUGUUGAGUCACAGUGCAGGCCUGUGUCGCUGUCAAAGUUGUCGCACAGCUCUAUGCAAGCAGUAAGAUAAAGAGACUGUUAGAGAAUGAAGGGAUUUAAGUUAUUAUUCAAUGCAGAGUUAUCAAACUGGUAAACCGAAGAACAAAACCAGAGUGCUGAAACAGUUGUUGUGAGAAAUUUCUUUCAAUACAGACUCUGAAAACAGGUAACAACUGAAAAUAUAGGAAUUUCCCAUGAGAUGUGUUCAGGUUAAGAGGAACAAUAUAAAAAUUAGCAGAGUACCUGAAGAACAUGAAGGCAAAUCUGAUGAAGAAGCAACAGUGAAAGAAAUCAAUGAUAAGGAUUUCCCUAGAGUUGAGGAACACAGGCAAGGGUCCCAGUGAAAAUAGACUCAACUAGGAAAACUCCAAGACACACUGGACUCAAAAGGACCAAAGUCAAAGAGAGAGAAUGCUGACAACAGCAAGAUUAAAAAAAAAAGAAGAAAGGAAAGCCCAUAAGAUUCAUAGCAGAUCUAUCAAAUGAGACUCUCUGAGUCAAAAAGAAUGGAGGGAUAUAGUCCAAAAAUUCAAUGAGAUGAGUAUCUCACCAAGAACACUCAAACCAACUAGAUUAGCAUUCAUAUUUGAAGGAACAAUACAGAGCUUCCAGGACGGGCAACAGCACGGCAAAUGAAUAGCACAGCCUUGAAAUCAAUCUUACAAGAGCCCCUUACAGGAACAUUAAACGAGCCUCUUUAAAAGACAAGAAGGACUCAGCAUCUGGCAUUGAGUAUGGCAUUCACUCCUGGUGCUUAUGGUUGCCCUAUACUAGAUAAAAAAGAUUCGUUUACUUUGAACUUGCUAGGGAUUUUAUAUAUAUUCAAUGACAAGUUAACAUUUCAGUUCAUAUUGAGUGUUUUGUGUCUGAUCAGGUGUUUUUGCUUUAAUCCAUAGAGAUGUUUAUUACAAUAUUUUAUUAUCAAUGCAGACCUUAAUUUCAAAAGCCAAAAAAGCCAAUAGAGAAUCUAGACAGAAUCUGGAUAGAAGCUUUAUAAUCUAUAAAAUCUUCCAUUGAAUAAAACACAUUUUAAAACUUUCAUUGAC